rnacentral:rRNA from 1 species
CAGUAGCCGCGGUAAUACGAGGGGUGCAAGCGUUAUUCGGAUUGAUUGGGUGUAAAGGGUGUGCAGACGGCUUAUUAAGUCACUUGUUAAAUUCUUCGGCCUAACUGAAGGUCUGCAAGUGAUACUGAUGAGCUAGAGGGUGGAAGAGAGAAGUGGAAUUCUCGGAGUAGCGGUAAAAUGCGUAGAUCUCGAGAGGAACACCAAUGGCGAAGGCAGCUUCUUGGUCCAUUCCUGACGUUCAUACACGAAAGCGUGGGGAGCAAACAGGAUUAGAUACCCGCGUAGUCCCUGUCUCUUAUAC